CAGGUUGCCUUUGAUCAUGGUGCUCACCAUAGCAAUAGAAGCCCUAACUAAGACAGGAGGGGGUAUGUAUUCACAUGCUGCUGCUUACUGGCUGUUCUUCAGAGUGGCUACCCAAAGGAACCUCUCAGGAAUAGUGAAAUGACACCAACUGUUAGCAUGGCUGGUGAGACACACCAGCUUCCCAGCUGCUGAUUUCUGUCUUCAGGUGGGUAAAGCUCAGAACGAACGAUGACUUCACAACAGUGGAAGACUAAUCAAAUCCCCCACUCUCAUUCACAGGGUCUGGCUUAGGAUAGCCUGGGCUCCCCUACAACCUCAAGGUGCACAGUCCUAUCUUUCCAAACAGUUCCCACCUGCCAACUUGGGGCUCCCAGAGUCUCAGCAGAACCCCCACCCAGCUCCCCACAGAGCUCUGCCUUGUGUGACUGAGACAUCUCCACCACGCACCGCCUACUCCACCCCACUGAAGACUAACAGCUGCAGUGUCGGGCCUUCUACAUUAAUGACAGCAUGUUAGGUUCCCAACAGCCUUCAAGGACUAGAAUGGCUGUGCUUCGUGAUACUAGACACUGAGACUCUGAGGGGGAGGAUACUCGUGCCUCAGGUGGCUUAGGAAGAUUUUGAGAUCUGUGCAUCUGUCUGAUUCCAG
rnacentral:lncRNA from 1 species